rnacentral:rRNA from 1 species
UGUGAACUCGAAGAGUAGGGCGGGACACGUGGUAUCCUGUCUGAAUAUGGGGGGACCAUCCUCCAAGGCUAAAUACUCCUGACUGACCGAUAGUGAACCAGUACCGUGAGGGAAAGGCGAAAAGAACCCCGGCGAGGGGAGUGAAAAAGAACCUGAAACCGUGUACGUACAAGCAGUGGGAGCACCUUCGGGUGUGACUGCGUACCUUUUGUAUAAUGGGUCAGCGACUUAUAUUCUGUAGCAAGGUUAACCGUAUAGGGGAGCCGCAGGGAAACCGAGUCUUAACUGGGCGUUAAGUUGCAGGGUAUAGACCCGAAACCCGGUGAUCUAGCCAUGGGCAGGUUGAAGGUUGGGUAACACUAACUGGAGGACCGAACCGACUAAUGUUGAAAAAUUAGCGGAUGACUUGUGGCUGGGGGUGAAAGGCCAAUCAAACCGGGAGAUAGCUGGUUCUCCCCGAAAGCUAUUUAGGUAGCGCCUCGUGAACUCAUCUUCGGGGGUAGAGCACUGUUUCGGCUAGGGGGUCAUCCCGACUUACCAACCCGAUGCAAACUACGAAUACCGAAGAAUGUUAUCACGGGAGACACACGGCGGGUGCUAACGUCCGUCGUGAAGAGGGAAACAACCCAGACCGCCAGCUAAGGUCCCAAAGUCAUGGUUAAGUGGGAAACGAUGUGGGAAGGCACAGACAGCCAGGAUGUUGGCUUAGAAGCAGCCAUCAUUUAAAGAAAGCGUAAUAGCUCACUGGUCGAGUCGGCCUGCGCGGAAGAUGUAACGGGGCUAAACCAUGCACCGAAGCUGCGGCAGCGACACUAUGUGUUGUUGGGUAGGGGAGCGUUCUGUAAGCCUGCGAAGGUGUGCUGUGAGGCAUGCUGGAGGUAUCAGAAGUGCGAAUGCUGACAUAAGUAACGAUAAAGCGGGUGAAAAGCCCGCUCGCCGGAAGACCAAGGGUUCCUGUCCAACGUUAAUCGGGGCAGGGUGAGUCGACCCCUAAGGCGAGGCCGAAAGGCGUAGUCGAUGGGAAACAGGUUAAUAUUCCUGUACUUGGUGUUACUGCGAAGGGGGGACGGAGAAGGCUAUGUUAGCCGGGCGACGGUUGUCCCGGUUUAAGCAUGUAGGCUGAUUGUCCAGGCAAAUCCGGAUAAUCAAGGCUGAGGUGUGAUGACGAGGCACUACGGUGCUGAAGUAACAAAUGCCCUGCUUCCAGGAAAAGCCUCUAAGCAUCAGGUAACAUCAAAUCGUACCCCAAACCGACACAGGUGGUCAGGUAGAGAAUACCAAGGCGCUUGAGAGAACUCGGGUGAAGGAACUAGGCAAAAUGGUGCCGUAACUUCGGGAGAAGGCACGCUGGUGUGUAGGUGAAGUCCCUGCGGAUGGAGCUGAGACCAGUCGAAGAUACCAGCUGGCUGCAACUGUUUAUUAAAAACACAGCACUGUGCAAACACGAAAGUGGACGUAUACGGUGUGACGCCUGCCCGGUGCCGGAAGGUUAAUUGAUGGGGUUAUCCGUAAGGAGAAGCUCUUGAUCGAAGCCCCGGUAAACGGCGGCCGUAACUAUAACGGUCCUAAGGUAGCGAAAUUCCUUGUCGGGUAAGUUCCGACCUGCACGAAUGGCGUAAUGAUGGCCAGGCUGUCUCCACCCGAGACUCAGUGAAAUUGAACUCGCUGUGAAGAUGCAGUGUACCCGCGGCAAGACGGAAAGACCCCGUGAACCUUUACUAUAGCUUGACACUGAACAUUGAGCCUUGAUGUGUAGGAUAGGUGGGAGGCUUUGAAGCGUGGACGCCAGUCUGCGUGGAGCCAACCUUGAAAUACCACCCUUUAAUGUUUGAUGUUCUAACGUUGGCCCCU